rnacentral:lncRNA from 1 species
CUGAGCCAUGCAGGCGCCCUGACAAAUUACAAUAUUGGUACCUGAUUUGAGUUGGCAUAUUUCAAAUGAAGACAUUUCUGAGGAAAUAAUUUUUAGUUUUAGACUUAAAGGAUGAGUGGAGUUAGUCCAGGGUGGAGCAGGGAAAGAGAUAGGCCCUCUCAGAAGCGUGAACAGGUGACAUGUAGGCCCAGAAGUAGGUGAGCACCUACAGGUGGCCUCGCCAUCUGGGUUGGCGUUCUCAUGGCCUGGGGACUAGUUUCUGAGAUAGAGCACUCCAACAGAGUGGUCCAAGAGAAAAAAACAGAAGCAGAAGCUGCCAGGUGAAGGUGCGAGGCAUCUGUUCCAGUGGAUUAAUUGAUCAAAGCAGAUUACAGGCCUGGAUCAGAGUCAAGGGGAGGGGUACUAAACUCUGCCUUCUGACUGGACCGGCAGCAUGCUUGCGUAAGAACUGGCAGAUUGGGGCUGUCCUUGGAAAACAAUAACCGCAAUAGGUGAUUUUAGCAAGAGUCAUUCAGAUUUGAGUUAAAAAUUGGAUAAGUAAGAAAGAGAGUGUGUAGAUACCUCUUUAAGAAACUUGUGUAGGGCAGGGAAGGGAGAUGAGACUUAGUUGGAUGAAGACGGCUGAAAAGAAGACUUUAAAGUGACGUUUGCAUGUUUUAGGGCCUGAUUGUGUAGAGGAGAGCUUGAAGAUCAUGACAGAGAUGGGCUGGUGGAUGAAACAUUUCUGAGAGACCAGAGGGAAAGGAAUUCAGAACACAAAUUUGGGGAAUUGGGCAUUGGCAGGAGAACUUUUUUCCGCUGUAACAGAAAGAAAAGAGAAGGCCUGAUUGGACGCAACUGGUUGUUGAAGGCAGAAUUUUCCAUGAGUGUUGGAGAUCUCAUGUGUUGGAGACUCAGCAACACAGAGGAUGCAGAAAAGAAGCCUGUGGGCAAAGUGGGAGAACCCUGGGCACGGCAACAGGGAAACAGUACAAGAAAUGUUUUCCUCGGUUGCAUGAUCUCUGUUCCAUUGGGCCUCCUUCUGAAGUUAUACUGAGCUGGACAAGGAAGGAAAAAAAUCCCUUUCAGAAGCAGAAGGAUGCUUGUACUUGUUUCUUCAUUAUUUGUGCCUUUUGCACUUGUAGAAUAUCUUAGUGGCUUCUAGAUCAACACUGUGUCCUCAGCUUUGAUUGAAGGCUUUCACCAGAAAUACAUCUAUGAGAAACUGCUGUACAGUGUUUGCUGACCAUUAUGAUGUCCAUUAUUUC